rnacentral:rRNA from 1 species
CGAGGAAUCUUGCACAAUGGGGGAAACCCUGACGCAGCAACGCCGCGUGAGUGAGGAAGGUCUUCGGGUCGUAAAGCUCUGUCAGGCGGGAAGAAAUGCAUGGAGGUGAACAGCCGCCAUGCUUGACGGUACCGCCAGAGGAAGCACCGGCUAACUCCGUGCCAGCAGCCGCGGUAAUACGGGGGGUGCAAGCGUUGUUCGGAAUCAUUGGGCGUAAAGAGCGUGUAGGCGGCUUGGUAAGUCAGAUGUGAAAGCCCUGGGCUCAACCCAGGAAGUGCAUUUGAAACUGGAAGGCUGGAGUAGGGGAGAGGGAAGUGGAAUUCCUGGUGUAGAGGUGAAAUUCGUAGAUAUCAGGAGGAACACCGGUGGCGAAGGCGACUUCCUGGCCCUAUACUGACGCUGAGACGCGAGAGCGUGGGUAGCAA